UACCAGCACCCCGAGUGGUCGGGACGAUUAUUGGGCCUAAAGCAUCCGUAGCCGGUUCUGCAAGUCCCCCGUUAAAUCCAGCUGCUCAACAGAUGGGCCGCGGAGGAUACUACAGAGCUAGGAGGCAGGAGAGGCAAGCGGUACUCAGUGGGUAGGGGUAAAAUCCGUUGAUCCAUUGAAGGCCACCAGUGGCGAAGGCGGCUUGCCAGAAUGCGCUCGGCGGUGAGGGAUGGAAGCUGGGGGAGCAAACCGG
rnacentral:rRNA from 1 species